AACUGAAGAGUUUGAUCAUGGCUCAGAUUGAACGCUGGCGGCAGGCUUAACACAUGCAAGUCGAGCGGGGG
rnacentral:rRNA from 1 species